rnacentral:tRNA from 3 species
AGUAAAAUAAGCUAAUCUAUUAAGCUUCUGGGUCCAUACCCCAGAUAUGUGGGUUAAAAUCCCAUUAUUACUA